UGUAAUGGCUUAGCCACUCCUGGGCAGAGG
rnacentral:piRNA from 1 species